rnacentral:rRNA from 1 species
AGGCUUAACACAUGCAAGUCGAGCGCCCCGCAAGGGGAGCGGCAGACGGGUGAGUAACGCGUGGGAAUCUACCCUUGACUACGGAAUAACGCAGGGAAACUUGUGCUAAUACCGUAUGUGUCCUUCGGGAGAAAGAUUUAUCGGUCAAGGAUGAGCCCGCGUUGGAUUAGCUAGUUGGUGGGGUAAAGGCCUACCAAGGCGACGAUCCAUAGCUGGCCUGAGAGGAUGACCAGCCACAUUGGGACUGAGUCACUGCCCAA